GCGCAGCAGGCGAGAAUUUUUCUCAAUGGGGGCAACCCUGAAGGAGCGACGCCGCGUGGAGGAUGAAGGCUUUCGGGUUGUAAACUCCUGUCAUUUGGGAACAAGUUGGACGCAGUAACUACGCGUCCAUUGAUAGUACCAGAAGAGGAAGGGACGGCUAACUCUGUGCCAGCAGCCGCGGUAAUACAGAGGUCCCAAGCGUUGUUCGGAUUCAUUGGGCGUAAAGGGUGCGUAGGUGGCGCCGUAAGUGGGGUGUGAAAUUUCGGAGCUUAACUCCGAAACUGCAUUCCAUACUGCGGUGCUUGAGGACUGGAGAGGAGACUGGAAUUCAUGGUGUAGCAGUGAAAUGCGUAGAGAUCAUGAGGAAGACCAGUGGCGAAGGCGGGUCUCUGGACAGUUCCUGACACUGAGGCACGAAGGCCAGGGGGAGCGAAACGGGAUUAGAUACCCCUGUAGU
rnacentral:rRNA from 1 species